GUCUCUGGGGAAAUCUUCCGGCUUAACCGGAAGGCGUCUCAGGGAUACUGGCAGACUAGGGACCGGGAGAGGUGAGGGGUACUCCAGGGGUAGGAGUGAAAUCCUGUAAUCCUUGGGGGACCACCUGUGGCGAAGGCGCCUCACCAGAACGGCUCCGACAGUGAGGGACGAAAGCUGGGGGAGCAAACCGGAUUAGAUACCCGGGUAGUCCCAGCUGUAAACGAUGCGCGUUAGGUGUAUCGGUGACCACGAGUCACCGAGGUGCCGAAGAGAAAUCGUGAAACGUGCCGCCUGGGAAGUACGGUCGCAAGGCUGAAACUCAAAUGAAUUGACGG
rnacentral:rRNA from 1 species